GGUUCUAAAGACUUUCAUGUUGUUAUUUCUGCAUCUUCACAAGUGGUCUCUAAGGUUUGUUGGAAGAAUAAAAUGAGGUACCUGUGAGAAAGCUCUAAAAUCAUGGAAGUAUAUAGGUAGUACUUUGAGAUCUCAUAAAGGGAGUGUAUGUAUGGCAUCACUGAUCGUGCCUGUCUGGGAGAUGCUGAGCAGUAUGUCUAAGACCUAAAUGAACCCAAAGGAUUCUCAACUCAGUAUGACCCACCAUCGCUUUUCUGUUUCCCUGAACCACUUUUAUUUCUUUACCUAAUUAAAGAAACAA